GGUUUAUGUGGUAAGUCUCAAGUCAGCCAAGGCUAUGUAAGGAAACCCUGUUUUGGGGGUGGGGGCGGGGCAAGAAGCAGACACUGCAGAGAUCUUUAAAGUUGAAUGCAUUUUGCUUUAAGAGGUGACCUUUGGAGACCGGUGGCAGAACAUUACGGUUAGGGUAUGAAAAUGUACCCAUGGGGUCACGUGUUUCAACACUUUGUCCCCAGCUGGCGGUGUUGACCAUAGCCAUCUGCCUUCACUACUGUGGGCUUCUUGAAUAUUGAGCCAAAGUGACCCCCUCCUCUCUUUUAAGUUCAUCUGACAACAACAAAAUUAACUAACGGGAUACUUAACUCAAAUUAUUAGUUUAAAAAAUUGCUAGGUGUGUUGAUUGUUCAUACAUUCAAAUGCAAACAAUGUCCCACCUGUCUCAAAGAUUUACACAUGCUGUGCCUCUGAAUAUUAAUGAACAGAUACUUGAAUGGUUAAUCCUAGCUUCUAGGAAAAUGAAAUGCUAAUUCUAUUCAGUUACAGAAAUAAUUCUUUCAGUGAAGUAGGAAACCCAGAAUUGGAGUAUCAGUGGCCUAUGUCUGUAAUGUGUGGUGUUUCCUGUAACCUUGGGCUCUUCCACCUGUCCACUUGGUUCCCAGAAAUAACAACUCUGAGACUUUAUUAUUACUGAAUAAACGCCUAGGCCAAAAGCCUCGGAUCAUUCCCUGACUAGCUCAGAACUUAAUCCUCCCAUCAUCCCACUCUAAGUUCUGUCACAUGGCCGGUUACCUGGUCCUCAGUCUCACGGGACCAUCUUCUUCUAUGUCUGGGGCAAAUCUCCCCAAUGCCUGACUCAAACCUAGCAUCCUCUCUCUCUGCCAGAACUCCCACCUCCCUAUUUCCUCCCUAUUUCCUAAUAGGCCAACAGCAUUUUAUUGACAGGUGGUGUUUCCAUACAAUCUAAUGGUGCUAAGGCCACUGCAGAGAUGAAGGUAGGCCAGACUCUUAUCACUCAGUUGGCACAGUAGAUACAGAGGCGUGGUUGUAAGAUUAAGUCCACAGGGCAUCAGAGAGCGCAUCUGGGUUGCUAGCAGGCUGGGGUGUAACUCGGCUGGUAUAGUUCUUGCCGAGUGUGUUAUGAAGUCCUGGGCCGCAUCCUGUGGUGGUCUGAAUGAGAAUGACUCCCUUAGCCUCCUCUAUCUGAAUGCGUGCAUCAAAGUUGGUGGAACUUUUGGGAAGGACUAGGAGGUGUGGCCUUGUUGGAGGAGAUGUGUCACUGGGGGCGGGCUCUGAGGUUUCAAAGCCCUCGCCAUUCACAAGUAGCUUUCUUCUCUCUGAUGAAUACUCUAGGGUGCUGCUGCAGCAAGGUACCUGCCUGCCCUGCUGCACUGCUUCCCACCAUGGUGGUCAUGCACUCACCAUCUAAAACCAUGAGCCCCCAAGUUAAAUGCUUUCUUUUAUAAGCUGCCUUGGUCUUGGUGAUUUGCCAUGGCAAAAGAAACGUUAACUAAGAUACAUUCCCACUGUGUCAUAAACCAAAUGCGGAUUCUCAGUACUUGGGAGGAGGAGGGUCACAAGUUCAAGGCCAUCCUCUGCUACACAGCAAGUUCAAGGCCAGCCUAGGCUACAGGAGAGUGUCUCAAAAAGCAGCAAAGCACCCAGCACCUUAGGGUGAAGGACCACUUCUGGAAUGUAUCCUCCCAGUUGCAAAUGUACACUGUCUCAUUCACUCCUGUGACAUACUUUGUUUGUGAAUGCUAAUAUCACAUAGUUCGAUCUUUGUUGGGAUUUUAUCUUAGUCCAUUGUGUACUGAGAGAGGAGUUAGGUUUAGAAAGCCUUCCUCAGAUGUCCCUCAAAGAAGCUGCUACAACUGCCCUCAUCCCAAGUUGCCAAGGAUCGCUACUUUUUCAGAGACGCCUUCAUUAAGGGGAGAAUGGAAAGAUGCUGGUUGACUUGAAAGAUUUCUCUCUGAUUUGUUUUACAGGAAGUGCAUUCUGUACACAUGAGAGACUCCGGGUGGAGAGGCAUUGUGGCGGUUGAGAUGCACCUGGGAGUGCCAACUGCCCCCGCUUCUACCACAGCUCUGCAUAGCAGGCUGGAGCAAGCAGCCAGCCAACCAUUGUGCCCUAGCCUCAUCUCCUCCAGAAGAGGUUAUCUGGGCUCUGUGUAACCUCUGCUCUUUGGCUAUGGUAUUCCUUCUUGGUGCUUUCUGUGGUCAACCUCCAGGUACACUUAGGGCCUAUCCUAGACAGACUGGGAAGAAAGAAUGACAUUCCCAUUGACCUCUGUUUUUAUUUCCUGGAAAUCCAGACCUUGUUCCAGUUAGUGGAGCAUGGGGUUAGACCAACCACACUGCUAAGAGUUUUGGCCUGUAGACAUAUCUGGUAUAGUACUUACCUAGAAUGCACAGAAACCCUGAGUUUGAUCCCCAGCACCAAUAAACUAGGCAUGGUAGUGCACAUCUGUAAUUCCAGCACCUAGGAGGUAGACUAGGCAGAAGGAUCAGAAGUUCAGGACCAUCCUUGGUUUCAUAUUGAGCUUGAGGCCAGCCUGGGCUACGUAAGACCCUUUCUCUAAAACAACAAAUGUGCAGAUGUGUUGAGGGUCCCCUGGAAGAGCAGCUAGUGCUCUUACAUGCAGAGCAUGUCUCCAGACUCUCAGCUGCUUCCUGUCUGCUCCUGCUGGAUGCUUCAUGAAGAUGGAGUGAAGCAGUGGUCAGCUUGUCUGUCUCAGCUGUUCUAUGUGCACACAGAAGCCAGAGAUCACUGGAGCCCUUGGACCUGGAGUUGCUAAUGGCUGUGAACUGCCCGGUGUGAGUGCUGGGGAUUAACCAGGUGCUCUGCAAGAGCAGCCAGAGUUCUUAACCACUGAGCCAGCUCACAAGCUACUGCACUGGGCCUUUGGGGCUCAUCUAUGUUGUCACACAUAUCCACUGCUUUCCCCGCAUAAUUCCAGUGUGUGGGCAUACUGAAUUCUGUUUACACAUUCAUAAAUCGACAGGUGGUUGUUAUCAUUCCUUUGCUACUCUAAAUGAUGUUAAUGCAAUUACCAUACACAUUUUCUAACAGGGCAUAGAUGUGUCCCCAGUGGUAGAAUUAAUUGGUCAUGCAUAGCUCUGUGUUUAACAAUGUCAAGACAUUUCAAAGCUAACUCAAGUGUCGGCAGUGCUUCACAAUCCCACAAUCCCCAGCUCUCCAUCAACGUGGGACACCCUCUACCUUUGACGUCCUGUGGCGGCUUCUGAGGGUGAAUUUGCUCUGCUCUGUGGCUGUUGGUGUUGAACAAACUUCCAUGUGCUUAUCAGCCCUUUGCGUUUCUUCUUUGGAAAAUGUGUACUUAGGGUUUUGCCCACUUUGAAAUGUGUUGUUUCUAUUGGUUUAGUUUCUGUUUAUCUCACUUUUGAUUUGAUGUUUUAGAUGCAGCUUUGCGUAGCCAGCAAUGAUCUCAAAUUCUUGAUUCCCUUGCUUCCUCCUCCCAAAUGCUGGGAUUACAUAAAUAAAGAAAUCUUUUUUAAAAAGAAAGAGAGAGAGCCAUCUCCUUCAAGUUGUCCUCCACAUACGCUUCACAUAUAUUUAAAAAUACUAAUUAAAAACAAACAAACAAACAAAUAAA